GUGGCUGAGUGCUAUGACACAGGGCUGUGCGCCCUCCUGCUCCAUGAUGUGCAGAUUUCUACAGAAGCGCAUCCUGUGCUGCUGAAUGAGGCUGUAGGAGCAGCAGGACUGUGCUCGCUUCUGUGUCCUGCACUGCUGUUGCAGUGUGUUGCCAGGAGCUGUGGCUGCUGACACUCAGCUGGCACGUCCCUACCAGCACUCAGGUCCUGCGAGCUGGGGAGCACCUAUGGAUGCUGGCUGUGGGGCCAGGCCAUGCUGAGGCAGACAAUCCCACUGUUAACCUGCAACCUGAGGAAUGAGUUUGCAGAAACAAGGGCUGCUGUUUGCUGUUGCUGGGUUGGCUUUUGGAGGACAUGAAACUUCUGGCUGUGUCUCAGCAGCAAGCAGUCAGCGCGGCCGAGUGGAUAGACGGAUGGAUGGACAGAUGGAUGGACACAGUGGUGCUUCCCUGCAGGUUUCUAUGUGCUGGGCUCCCUAAAGCUGAGGACGGGUGGGAGCAGAGGCUCAGUGGAAGGGGAAUGCUAAUCAGAGUAUGUGCUGGCAGCAGGCAGAAUGCUGCACAAUAAAUAGCCAUUUUAAUUACC
rnacentral:lncRNA from 7 species